rnacentral:snRNA from 1 species
CCACAACAAAGCGCCUCAA